UACAGAGGUCCCAAAGCGUUGUUCGGGAUUCACUGGGCGUAAAGGGUGCGUAGGCGGUUUGUCGCGUCUGCUGUGAAAACCUAAGGCUCAACCUUGGGCUUGCAGUGGGUACGGGCAGACUAGAGUGCGGUAGGGGGUGACUGGAAUUCCUGGUGUAGCGGUGGAAUGCGCAGAUAUCAGGGAAGAACACCAACGGGCGAAGGCAGCUGCGCUAGGGACGGA
rnacentral:rRNA from 1 species